GACCACCUCGUAAGGCAAAAUACUUUUGGAUGACCGAUAGCGAAAUAGUACUGUGAGGGUAAGGUGAAAAAGAACCUCUCUAGAGGAGUGAAAUAGAACAUGAAACCAUAAGCUUUCAAGCAGUGGGAGGGUUUGAAAACCUGACCGCGUGCCUGUUGAAGCAUGAGCCGGCGACUUAUAAGGAGUGGCUUGGUUAAAUAGUAAAAUCUGAAGCCAGAGCGAAAGCAAGUCUUAAAAGGGCAUUUUAAGGUCACUUCUUAUGGACCCGAACCCGGGUGAUCUAACCAUGGCCAGGAUGAAGCUUGGGUAAAACCAAGUGGAAGUCCGAACCGACCGAUGUUGAAAAAUCGGCGGAUGAGCUGUGGUUAGGGGUGAAAUGCCAAUCGGACUCGGAGCUAGCUGGUUCUCCC
rnacentral:rRNA from 2 species